rnacentral:piRNA from 1 species
UUCACGCAUUAUUUCCAAAGA